GCUUUUUCAUUUUUUCGAGUGCUUAAAUAGUAGAGGCUAGUGAACACCUUUUCUAUGGCUGACAGAUGUUUAGCUCAGCACAUAGCUUGAAAACCAACUAGUAACCUCCAAGGGUUUGGAUGGAGUUGUGUGAUCGACAACUGAUAGUAUUGAAGUACUCGAAUGUAACAUGGAUCACGUGGAAACCUUAGUCCCACGUUCAGUAGUUCUUCAUACACAAUCACACAGU
rnacentral:misc_RNA from 1 species